GAUGAACGCUGGCGGCGUGCCUAGUACAUGCAAGUCGAGCGAACAGACGAGGAGCUUGCUCCUCUGACGUUAGCGGCGGACGGGUGAGUAACACGUGGAUAACCUACCUAUAAGACUGGGGUAACUUCGAGAAACCGGAGCUAAUACCGGGUAAUAUAUUGAACCGCAUGGUUCAAUAGUGAAAGACGGUUUUGCUGUCACUUCUAGAUGGCUCCGCGCCGCAUUAGCUAGUUGGUACGGUAACGGCUUACCAAGGCAACGAUGGGUAGCCGAACCGAGAGGGGGAACGGCCACUCUGGAAGUGGGAGACGGUACAGGGUCCGACGGGAGGCAGCGGUAGGGAAGCUUCCGAGAUGGGCGAAAGCCUGACGGAGCAACGCCGCGUGAGUGAUGAAGGUCUUCGGAUCGUAAAACUCUGUUAUUAGGGAAGAACAAAUGUGUAAGUAACUAUGCACGUCUUGACGGUACCUAAUCAGAAAGCCACGGCUAACUACGUG
rnacentral:rRNA from 1 species